GAGCUAUUCAAAGCAUAGUCCGUGACUGAAGCCUGUCCACAAACUGAUACUCACCCACGAUGAUACAGGAUGGAAAUUGAGAACGUUUCUAGAGCACUUGCGUGGGGCCAGGCACUGUCCCAGAUGCUGGAGAUGCAGCAGAGCCCAAGCAGAGAAGGUCCCUGCCUUCACGGAGCUCAUAUUCUAAUGGGAGAGACCGAUGAUGGAAGCAUAAACCACAAGGUUACUUGUAUUUUGCCCAUCAUUUGUCCUGCUCGACGCCACAUCACGCCCUGCUCUGCGUCACCACUGCCCGGCCUCCAGUCCUGUCCAGGAUCCCCUUGGCCAGUGACCACCCUGAUUUCCUACGGAGAGGUGACCUCAUCCCUCUGCACUCAGCACAGAAAAC